UACGUAGGGGGCAAGCGUUGUCCGGAUUUAUUGGGCGUAAAGAGCGUGUAGGCGGCCAGGUAGGUCCGUUGUGAAAACUCGAGGCUCAACCUCGAGACGUCGGCGGAAACCGUUUGGCUAGAGUCCGGAAGAGGAGAGUGGAAUUCCCGGUGUAGCGGUGAAAUGCGCAGAUAUCAGGAAGAACACCUAUGGCGAAGGCAGCUCUCUGGGACGGUACUGACGCUGAGACGCGAAAGCGUGGGGAGCGAACAGG
rnacentral:rRNA from 1 species